ensembl:rRNA 5S_rRNA 5S ribosomal RNA
UCUACGGCCAUACCACCCUGAACGCGCCCGAUCUCGUCUGAUCUCGGAAGCUAAGCAGGGUCGGGCCUGGUUAGUACUUGGAUGGGAGAUAGAUGAACAGAUAAAGAAAAUGUGUUAACGAUAUAU